GUCUAGAUAGCGGGCGUAGAACACGGCCCACAAAACAGCAAGAUAGGAUGUGAGAGUUUCUUUCCAUGCAAUACUUACUGCCAGCAUUAAUAUUUGUUUGAAAUGAAAGAAUGGGGGCGAGGUCACCAUAAAAAAUUAUUGCUGAAUCCACGUCGGUGUGAAUUUAGUCAGAUGGUUGUAAUUAACACGGAUCCCCUUCAUUAUUCUGUUUGCUUCAUUUAUACAAGUUUGUAAUACUUUUCCUCGUUUUUUUAAUGAUUAAACAUUUCUAGUUCUUCUUAAAAACGACU